rnacentral:rRNA from 1 species
UACGUAGGGUGCAAGCGUUAAUCGGAAUUACUGGGCGUAAAGCGUGCGCAGGCGGUUAUGUAAGGCAGAUGUGAAAUGCCCGGGCUUAACCUGGGAACUGCAUUUGUGACUGCAUGGCUAGAGUGUGUCAGAGGGGGGUAGAAUUCCACGUGUAGCAGUGAAAUGCGUAGAUAUGUGGAGGAAUACCGAUGGCGAAGGCAGCCCCCUGGGAUAACACUGACGCUCAUGCACGAAAGCGUGGGGAGCAAACAGG